GAUGAACGCUGGCGGCGUGCCUAAUACAUGCAAGUCGAGCGAAUGGAUUAAGAGCUUGCUCUUAUGAAGUUAGCGGCGGACGGGUGAGUAACACGUGGGUAACCUGCCCAUAAGAAUGGGAUAACUCCGGGAAACCGGGGCUAAUACCGGAUAACAUUUUGAACCGCAUGGUUCGAAAUUGAAAGGCGGCUUCGGCUGUCACUUAUGGAUGGACCCGGGUCGCAUUAGCUAGUUGGUGAGGUAACGGCUCACCAAGGCAACGAUGCGUAGCCGCCCUGCGAGGGUGGUCGGCCACAUGGGGACGUAGACGCGGCCCAGACUCCGACGGGAGGCAGCAGUAGGAAAUCUUCCGCAAUGGACGAAAGUCUGACGGAGCAACGCCGCGUGAGUGAUGAAGGCUUUCGGGUCGUAAAACUCUGUUGUUAGGGAAGAACAAGUGCUAGUUGAAUAAGCUGGCACCUUGACGGUACCUAACCAGAAAGCCACGGCUAACUACGUGCCAGCCGCCGCGGUAA
rnacentral:rRNA from 1 species